rnacentral:rRNA from 1 species
GACGAACGCUGGCGGCGUGCCUAAUACAUGCAAGUCGAACGCAGUGGUGACUGGUGACUAACACGUUGGUAACCUCCCAUCAGAGGGGAUAACACUUUGAAACAGGUGCUAAACCGAUACUGAUGGAUGGACCCGCGGGGCAUUAGCUAGUUGGUGAGGUAACGGCUCACCAAGGCCACGAUGCAGAGCUGGCAUGAGAGGGUGAUCAGCCACACUGGGACUGAGACACGGCCCAGACUCAUACGGGAGGCAGCAGUAGGGAAUCGUCGGCAAUGGACGAAAGUCUGACCGAGCAACGCCGCGUGAGUGAAGAAGGUUUUAGGAUCGUAAAACUCUGUUGUUAGAGAAGCGGUAUCUAACCAGAAAGCAAUGGCUAACUACGUGCCAGCAGCCGCGGUAAUAC